rnacentral:rRNA from 1 species
GAUGAACGCUAGCGGCAGGCUUAAUACAUGCAAGUCGAGGGACAGCACAGGUAGCAAUACUGGGGGUAACCGGCAAACGGGUGCGGAACACGUACACAACCUUCCUUUAAGUGGGGGAUAGCCCAGAGAAAUUUGGAUUAAUACCCCGUAAUAUAGUUGAAUGGCAUCAUUUGAUUAUUAUAGCUACGGCGCUUAAUGAUGGGUGUGCGGCUGAUUAGAUAGUUGGCGGGGUAACGGCCCACCAAGUCUACGAUCAGUAGCUGAUGUGAGAGCAUGAUCAGCCACACGGGCACUGAGACACGGGCCCGACUCCUACGGGAGGCAGCAGUAAGGAAUAUUGGUCAAUGGACGCAAGUCUGAACCAGCCAUGCCGCGUGAAGGAUUAAGGUCCUCUGGAUUGUAAACUUCUUUUAUUUGGGACGAAAAAGGGCCUUUCUAGGUCAACUGACGGUACCAGAUGAAUAAGCACCGGCUAACUCCGUGCCAGCCGCCGCCGUAAUAC